AUGUUACAUGCAGAAAGCAGCAUAGAUUACUGGAACAAUAAAAGGAAAGGAACGCAAGAACUGAAAUGACAUGGGCGCAAAUGCUCUUGCAGAAGACAGACAUGCGAUGCGCCUUCUGCAAUAUGUAUUUUUGGCCAGCUUUUUCGUCCACACAGCAUUUGUAGAAGGAAACUCUACUUGUCGCUUGUUGUUCAAGGGCGAGGAAAAGGAGGUUGCUCAUUGAGACCAAAAGAAGGAAAUUGUACAAGUAAUCCUUGGUGGUACUUUAACCGAGCUACACAGGCAUGUGAACUUGUGAAGGAUGGAUGUCCCAGGAAGCCUAACUAUUACCGCUCAUGCAACAUAUGCGCCAAAGUGUGCAUAAACCAGAUACAAACUGCUCGGAAGAAGGAUCCCUGUCCCGGAAAGCUUAAAAAACUUAUAAAGAAGAUGAAAAAUAAAAUGACAAUACUAUA